rnacentral:lncRNA from 1 species
GGGGGGUUCCUUAAGAAGAAGAAGAAGAAGAGAGCUAAACCCAGAAAGAAAACAGACCAGGAAAAGCUUGGUUGCAUGUGUCAAUGGCUUUUGUAAGAAGGGGAUGGUGGAGAGGAACCCACAACGGAGUUGGAAAAGGGCUGCGAACCCCUCACCCCCGAGCCAAAUUUCAGCCGGAACAAGCGAGGCCAACCUCACCUACGGCCCAGACUAUUCCAUUACUUGGAGGCUUGGCCAAGCAUUG